GUUUUUGGCUGCAUUACCACUUUGGGAUGAUUUUCUAGAUAAGGUCCUGCUUAAUCCUUCAUGGAGAAGUGGAGCAGCAAGAGAUGAUUGAGAUGUUUUACCAACAGCUAAAUCACUUCCACUUGACGAAGCAGUAUUUAAGGCAGGAGAUCCUCUACUUUCGGCAGAACCAAAUGUAACCAUCUCCUGGCCUCCUAAGCCUCUGGAGGCAGGUUCUGCAGAAAAAUCCAUGAAACAGCGAGUAAAUAAAGAUGUCGUCUCAGAAAGAUAGGAAGCAGCAUCAUUGAGAGCCGGCACAGAGGUAAGUAGCUGAGGGAUAACCCUAUUGUUU
rnacentral:misc_RNA from 1 species